AUUGAACGCUGGCGGCAGGCCUAACACAUGCAAGUCGAGCGGAUGAAGGGAGCUUGCUCCUGGAUUCAGCGGCGGACGGGUGAGUAAUGCCUAGGAAUCUGCCUGGUAGUGGGGGAUAACGUCCGUAAACGGGCGCUAAUACCGCAUACGUCCUGAUGGAGAAAGUGGGGGAUCUUCGGACCUCACGCUAUCAGAUGAGCCUAGGUCGGAUUAGCUAGUUGGUUGGGUAAAGGCCUACCAAGGCGACGAUCCGUAACUGGUCUGAGAGGAUGAUCAGUCACACUGGAACUGAGACACGGUCCAGACUCCUACGGGAGGCAGCAGUGGGGAAUAUUGGACAAUGGGCGAAAGCCUGAUCCAGCCAUGCCGCGUGUGUGAAGAAGGUCUUCGGAUUGUAAAGCACUUUAAGUUGGGAGGAAGGGCAGUAAGUUAAUACCUUGCUGUUUUGACGUUACCAACAGAAUAAGCACCGGCUAACUUCGUG
rnacentral:rRNA from 1 species